UACAGAGGGUGCAAGCGUUGUUCGGAAUUAUUGGGCGUAAAGGGCGCGUAGGCGGUGCGGUAAGUCUGUAGUGAAAUCUCUGGGCUCAACUCAGAGUCUGCUGCAGAAACUGCCGUGCUUGAGUGUGGGAGAGGUGAGUGGAAUUCCCGGUGUAGCGGUGAAAUGCGUAGAUAUCAGGAGGAACACCUGUGGCGAAAGCGGCUCACUGGACCAUAACUGACGCUGAGGCGCGAAAGCUAGGGGAGCAAACAGG
rnacentral:rRNA from 1 species